UAACACAUGCAAGUCGAACGGUAACAGCAGAGCUUGCUCUGGCUGACGAGUGGCGGACGGGUGCGUAACGCGUGGGAAUUUACCUUGUAGUGGGGGAUAGCCCGGAGAAAUCCGGAUUAACACCGCAUAAUCUCUACGGAGGAAAAGGGGCCUCUUCUUGAAAGCUCCUGCUAUUAGAUGAGCCCGCGUUGGAUUAGCUUGUUGGUAGGGUAAUGGCCUACCAAGGCAACGAUCCAUAGCUGGUUUGAGAGGAUGAUCAGCCACACUGGGACUGAGACACGGCCCAGACUCCUACGGGAGGCAGCAGUGGGGAAUAUUGGACAAUGGGCGAAAGCCUGAUCCAGCAAUACCGCGUGUGUGAAGAAGGCCUGAGGGUUGUAAAGCACUUUCAAUAGAGACGAAAAGCCUGGGAUUAAUACUCCUGGGUCUUGACUUAACCUAUAGAAGAAGCACCGGCUAACUCCGUGCCAGCAGCCGCGGUAAUACGGAGGGUGCAAGCGUUAAUCGGAAUUACUGGGCGUAAAGCGCUCGUAGGCGGCUUGUUAAGUCGGAUGUGAAAGCCCCGGGCUCAACCUGGGAACUGCAUUCGAUACUGGCAAGCUAGAGUAUAGUAGAGGCAAGUGGAAUUCCGGGUGUAGCGGUGAAAUGCGUAGAGAUCUGAAGGAACACCAGUGGCGAAGGCGGCUCUCUGGACCAACACUGACGCUGAGGUGCGAAAGCGUGGGGAGCAAACGGGAUUAGAUCCCCCGGUAGUCCACGCCGUAAACGAUGUCAACUAGCCGUUUGGGCGGGUUUCCGCUUAGUGGUGCAGCUAACGAAAUAAGUUGACCGCCUGGGGAGUACGGCCGCAAGGCUAAAACUCAAAUGAAUUGACGGGGGCCCGCACAAGCGGUGGAGCAUGUGGUUUAAUUCGAUGCAACGCGAAGAACCUUACCUACCCUUGACAUCCAGAGAAUCUGUUAGAGAUAGUAGAGUGCCUUCGGGAAUUCUGUGACAGGUGCUGCAUGGCUGUCGUCAGUUCGUGUCGUGAGAUGUUGGGUUAAGUCCCGCAACGAACGCAACCCCUAUUGUUAGUUACCAGCGGAUAAUGCCGGGGACUCUAGCGAGACUGCCUGCGCAAGCAGUGAGGAAGGUGGGGACGACGUCAAGUCAUCAUGGCCCUUAUGCCCAGGGCUGCACACGUGCUACAAUGGAUGGUACAACGGGCUGCCACCCCGCGAGGGGGAGCGAAUCCACAAAGCCAUCCUCAGUUCGGAUCGGAGUCUGCAACUCGACUCCGUGAAGUCGGAAUCGCUAGUAAUCGCGUAUCAGCAACGACGCGGUGAAUACGUUCCCGGGCCUUGUACACACCGCCCGUCAAGCCAUGGAAGCCGGGGGCACCCGAAGCCCGUGACCCAACUUCGGAGGGAGAGCGGCCGAAGGUGAACUUAGUGACUGGGGCUAAGUCGUAACAAGGUAACC
rnacentral:rRNA from 1 species